GUGGUUGUGGCUCAGUGGCAGAGCACUCAACUAGCAUAUGUGAGGCACUGGGUUUGAUCCUCAGCACCACA
rnacentral:tRNA from 1 species